CGGUUGAAAUGUUAGGGUUUGCGUGAGAUGGGGGUUGCUCUGAGUUCUCUGUCAGGUUCCUCUCCAGGUUUUGUUCAGGGUUUUGUUUCAAGGAAACCUCAGAGUAUUUUGCUUCUUUUCCUUUUUCUGUCUGAUCUCCCUCUUUUAUAACCUGAUUUUCAUGGCUUCGUGGGCUCAAAUGAGAGAGGUCCAAGUCCAAGUUUUUUCUAUUAUAUUUUAUUUAUU
rnacentral:lncRNA from 1 species